UGAUCUAUGCUUAAUACUCUAUUAUAGCAUGAAAUCCCCUAUUUUCCACCCGGAUGAACAGUAACCCGAACUGACAGUGGGUUACUUCAUCCCGGUUUUGAUCCACUUUCAGGACUCCAAAUUUGAUGAAAUUUUUACCUAACAUUCUACACUCACAGAGGAUUCCAAAGAGAUAACAUGCAUCAUCAUCGGAGGCCGUUUGACCCCCUAAAUAAUUCGCCAAAGUUGGGACUUCGACACAGUUUUUCCGUAGUGCCGGAAAAAUUUGUCAAAAUCCGAUUCUUUUUCUUUUAACCACCUCUACAACCCUUAUCCGACCCCUCUAGACUAUAUCCACCCUUUGUAUAGCCUAAUGUCAUCAAAAGACUAGAUAGGGAUGGAUAUUUACCUUUUUCUUUUUGGAAAUCGAGGUCCUUGCGUAGAGGGGAAGGAGAUCUGCGUUUUUCCUUCAGCUAGAAGUGCAACCGGGAUCUCCUUCCUCUUCCUUUCUUCCUUUCCUUUCCUCUCCUUCUUUUUCUUCCUCUCGUCCGUCUGAGACUCCCCUGUGACUCUCUCUCGGUUUCCAUCCAAAAGCCAUAGCAAACCCCCUAAUUAAAUCACAUCAAAACACUAUUCACUCUUUGUUUAAUAUUAUUAAAUUCCCAUUUUGCCCCUAACACUUCAACAUAUCUACCGUUAUGCCAUUAACUUUUGAUUCCUUCCAAUUUUACCCUUACCACUUCAAUGCAUCUACAACUAUGCCAUUAUCUUUUGAUUCCUUCCAAUUUUACCCCUUAUAUCAAUUUUAAAGGACUAUUCUAUCCCUUUUUAUAUAAAAAA
rnacentral:lncRNA from 1 species